ACCGCUUCUCAGCCUUUUGGCUAAGAUCAAGUGUAGUAUCUGUUCUUAUCAGUUUAAAUAUGCUAGGUGCAGUGGCCCACAUCUGUAAUCCCA
rnacentral:snRNA from 1 species